rnacentral:SRP_RNA from 1 species
GCCGGGCGUGGUGGCGGGCGCCUGUAAUCCCAGCUCCUCAGGAGGCUGAGACAGAGAAUUGCUUGAACCCGGGAGGUGGAAAUUGCAGUGAGCCGAGAUCGCGCCACUGCACUCCAGCCUGGGUAACAAAGCAAGACUCUGUCUCAA